AACGAACGCUGGCGGCAUGCCUAACACAUGCAAGUCGAACGAAGUCUUCGGACUUAGUGGCGCACGGGUGAGUAACGCGUGGGAACCUGCCCUUCGGUACGGAAUAACGUCGGGAAACUGACGCUAAUACCGUAUAUGUCUCUGGAUGAAAGAUUUAUCGCCGGAGGAGGGGCCCGCGUCUGAUUAGCUAGUUGGUGAGGUAAUGGCUCACCAAGGCGACGAUCAGUAGCUGGUCUGAGAGGAUGAUCAGCCACACUGGGACUGAGACACGGCCCAGACUCCUACGGGAGGCAGCAGUGGGGAAUAUUGGACAAUGGGGGCAACCCUGAUCCAGCAAUGCCGCGUGAGUGAUGAAGGCCUUCGGGUUGUAAAGCUCUUUUGGCAGGGACGAUGAUGACGGUACCUGCAGAAUAAGCCCCGGCUAACUUCGUGCCAGCCGCCGCAGUAAAAC
rnacentral:rRNA from 1 species